UUAAACCUCUUCCAGAGUAUCAAUUGGAGGGCAAGUCUGGUGCCAGCAGCCGCGGUAAUUCCAGCUCCAACAGCGUAUAUUAAAAUUGUUGCAGUUAAAAAGCUCGUAGUUGAAUUUCUGCUGCAUUGCAUCUUCUUUUUGAUGAGUUGAUGUAUUGUGGCUUAUUUCGGAUGAUACUUGUAUUAUCCGGAUGAUUACUUUGAGAAAAUUAGAGUGCUCAAAGCAGGCUUUUGCCUUGAAUAGUUUAGCAUGGAAUAAUAAAGUAGGACUUUGGUUCUAUUUUGUUGGUUUUAGGUACCAAAGUAAUGGUUAAUAGGAACAGUUGGGGGCAUUCGUAUUUAACUGUCAGAGGUGAAAUUCUUAGAUUUGUUAAAGACGAACUACUGCGAAAGCAUUUGCCAAGGAUGUUUUCAUUAAUCAAGAACGAAAGUUAGGGGAUCGAAGACGAUCAGAUACCGUCGUAGUCCUAACCAUAAACUAUGCCGACUAGAGAUUGGAGGUCGUCAGUUUUUACGACUCCUUCAGCACCUUGAGAGAAAUCAAGGUCUUUGGGUUCUGGGGGGAGUAUGGUCGCAAGGCUGA
rnacentral:rRNA from 1 species